CACAGAUCAGGAGAGUCUUCCUUCAGCCUGAAUGAGCACAGAUGAAGUUGUGCUAAGAGAGACAGGGUUUUGCCAUGUUGUCCAGGCUGGUCUCAAACAGCUGGGCUCAAGCCAUUCGUCCACCAUAGCCUCCCAAAGUGCUGGGAUUGCAGGGGACACCAGUGUGCCUCUGAAGAUGCCACUCUGAGGGCUGGAGGGAAAGGAAAGAACAAUCAGGCCAACAAGAUUUCCAUACCAAGCAUCCUUGGGUUACCUGAACCAGUAAGACUGCCCUCUACCCAGAAACACCAACUUUGACAAAAGUGAACCCAGCUAAGUAGGCUUCUUGCUAAAGAGCAAAUGCUCACGUGACACAAGAGAAGAGUGUCACUAGGAAUGGCAUAACCAAAGACAAAGUCUCAGCAAGGAUGGCAAAGAAGUUUCUUUCCUCCCUAGCCUGUGUC